GAAUUGCAGAAUUCCGCGAAUCAUCGAGUCUUUGAACGCAAGUUGCGCCCGAGGCUUGUCCGAGGGCAUUUCCGCUAGAGCGUCACC
rnacentral:rRNA from 1 species